UCCUCGUUAGUAUAGUGGUGAGUAUCCCCGCCUGUCACGCGGGAGACCGGGGUUCGAUUCCCCCGACGGGGAG
rnacentral:tRNA from 1 species